rnacentral:rRNA from 1 species
AGUGAACGCUGGCGGUAGGCCUAACACAUGCAAGUCGAACGGCAGCACAGUAAGAGCUUGCUCUUACGGGUGGCGAGUGGCGGACGAGUGAGGAAUACAUCGGAAUCUACUUUUUCGUGGGGGAUAACGUAGGGAAACUUACGCUAAUACCGCAUACGACCUACGGGUGAAAGCAGGGGAUCUUCGGACCUUGCGCAAUUGAAUGAGCCGAUGUCGGAUUAGCUAGUUGGCGGGGUAAAGGCCCACCAAGGCGACGAUCCGUAGCUGGUCUGAGAGGAUGAUCAGCCACACUGGAACUGAGACACGGUCCAGACUCCUACGGGAGGCAGCAGUGGGGAAUAUUGGACAAUGGGCGCAAGCCUGAUCCAGCCAUACCGCGUGGGUGAAGAAGGCCUUCGGGUUGUAAAGCCCUUUUGUUGGGAAAGAAAAGCAGCAGGUUAAUACCCCGCUGUUCUGACGGUACCCAAAGAGUAAGCACCGGCUAACUUCGUG